UCCUUCGGGGGAACCUGAGAGCGAGGGUAACCAUACUCCCGAGAAAAUGGGCUAAACUCAUGUUGGCGGUACCCGUACCGCAAACCGACACAGGUAGUUGGGUAGAACAUACUAAGGCGUUGAGAGAUUCAUGGCUAAGGAACUAGGCAAACUGACCCCGUAACUUCGGGAUAAGGGGUCCUCACCUCCGGGUGAGGCGCAGAGAAUAGGUCCAGGCAACUGUUUAACAAAAACACAGGGCUGUGCGAACUCGAAAGAUGAAGUAUACAGCCUGACACCUGCCCGGUGCCGGAAGGUUAAGAGGAGAUGUCACCGCAAGGGAAGCAUUGAAUUGAAGCCCCGGUAAACGGCGGCCGUAACGAUAACGGUCCUAAGGUAGCGAAAUUCCUUGUCGGGUAAGUUCCGACCUGCACGAAUGGUGUAAUGAUCCGGACGCUGUCUCGGCCAUGAGCUCAGUGAAAUUGUAGUAUCGGUGAAGAUGCCGAUUACCCGCGAUGGGACGAAAAGACCCCGUGAACCUUUACUACAGCUUAGCAUUGACCUUGGUCAUCCGAUGUGUAGGAUAGGCCGGAGGCUUCGAAGCGGCGUCGCCAGGCGUUGUGGAGCCAUCCUUGAAAUACGGCCCUUUGGCUGUCUGAGGUCUAACGCGGAUAGUCGCGGACACUGCUUGGUGGGUAGUUUGACUGGGGUGGUCGCCUCCAAAAGCGUAACGGAGGCUUCCAAAGGUGCCCUCGGGCCGUUUGGUAAGCGGCCUUCAAGAGUGCAAUGGCAAAAGGGCGCUUGACUGGGAGGGAGACAUCCCGAGCAGGCAGGAAACUGGGGCAUAGUGAUCCGGCGGAUGUGUAUGGAAACUCCGUCGCUCAAAGGAUAAAAGGUACUCCGGGGAUAACAGGCUGAUCCCCCCCAAGAGCUCAUAUCGACGGGGUGGUUUGGCACCUCGAUGUCGGCUCGUCACAUCCUGGGGCUGGAGAAGGUCCCAAGGGUUGAGCUGUUCGCCCAUUAAAGUGGCACGCGAGCUGGGUUCAGAACGUCGUGAGACAGUUCGGUCUCUAUCUAUCGUGGGCGCAGGAGUUUUGAGUGGUGCUGUCACUAGUACGAGAGGACCGUGACGGACAGACCUCCGGUGUACCGGUUGUGCCGCCAGGCGCACCGCCGGGUAUCCGCGUCUGGAUCGGAUAAGCGCUGAAAGCAUCUAAGUGCGAAGCUUUCCACGAGAUUAGAACUCCAUUGAGGGUCGUCGCAGACGACGACGUUGAUAGGGCGCAGGUGUAAAGACGGCGACGUCAAAGCCGAGCGCUACUAAUUGCCCAAAAAA
rnacentral:rRNA from 1 species